GAUGAACGCUAGCGGCAGGCCUAACACAUGCAAGUCGAGGGAGAAGCCCUUUCGGGGGCAGAAACCGGCGCACGGGUGCGUAACGCGUAUGCAACCUGCCUUUCACAGGGGGAUAGCCCGAAGAAAUUUGGAUUAAUACCCCAUAAUAUUAUUGGAUGGCAUCAUUCGAUAAUUAAAACUGCGGUGGUGAAAGAUGGGCAUGCGUCCUAUUAGCUAGUUGGAGUGGUAACGGCACCCCAAGGCUACGAUAGGUAGGGGUCCUGAGAGGGAGAUCCCCCACACUGGUACUGAGACAGGGACCAGACUCCUACGGGAGGCAGCAGUGAGGAAUAUUGGUCAAUGGUCGGAAGACUGAACCAGCCAUGCCGCGUGCAGGAAGAAUGCCUUAUGGGUUGUAAACUGCUUUUAUAUGGGAAGAAUAAGGCGUACGUGUACGUUGAUGACGGUACCAUAUGAAUAAGCAUCGGCUAACUCCGUG
rnacentral:rRNA from 1 species